UGCAACCGUGGUAUUAGAGACCAUGAUAAUAUUUACUUAUGGCUUCAGUAAGACUGUAACUCAUUGAGCAGUUAGAUGUGACUGCUCUUCUUUCUACAGGCUGGUGGGAAUGGGGCAAAUGGUCUCUGUUCCCCCUGGAACACGGUUCCUUUUUAUGGAUGGAACAGGAUACAGCUAAGAUCUCUGGGAGCAAAAAAGAAGAGGGUUGCCCUGCCUUGUAUGGAGCAGUUGCUUCAAAUUAAUUCCUUGGACAUCAGCCUAGGCCUCCAGACAAAGAUGUCAUUUAGAAUGAAAGCCUGGGCGUUUCUUCAUUAAGAUCUUGUUCAGGAUGAAGGUCUUUUGAAGUGGGAAAACAUGGCCUAAUUUAGGCAGCAUCUUCCAGUGGCAGCCCAGAUGAAAGGAGGUUGGGGAAAAGAAGAUUUGCGUUUUGCCUGUUUACCUUGUCUCCCACUGUCAAGUUCAUCUACCCUGCUGCCAUUGACAUUAGAACCUAGCUUCUUGGGGCUCCCAACCUGGAAAACCUGUUGUUCUCCAGGAAUCCUCCAGGCCUUCAGCAUCAGGUUGUAACCACUGAGGCACCCAACCUCAAGGGCCAAACAGCUACCCAGUUCUCAGCUUCUCCAGUAUAAAGACAGCCAUCAUGAGACUACCAAGAACACAUCACAUGAAACAAUCUAAUAAAUCUUCAUUUAAUAUCUA